rnacentral:lncRNA from 1 species
UAUUUGAGUAAUGAUUUUCAGUAGAGAUCAAUGGGUAUUUAUGGGCAAUAUGUUGAAGCUCUCCAAUGUUAUAUGAAAACAGAGCACACUUGACGUGAAGGUCUAAACGAUAAGGACAAUGAUAAAUAAAUUUCUCACACCUUUUUUCGCAGAAAUAGCGAUUACACCAAUAUCCAAUAUAUGGUGGGCUUGCUACAAGUUUAAGACUGGUUGCAAUGAAAGGGGUGAUUCAUCUCCAAAGGUGCCCAAGCACAGAUCUUGUCAAGGAGAAACCUGCAUGCCACGCAGCUAUACGCUGGACCCAACACCGCCUCCCCACAACCAUUGCAUUGUAAAGCCUUCUCAUUACUUUCAUGGCUUGGCUCUUCAGUGAAAACCAGAGGAUGAAUAUGGCUAGGAUGUUGAAAUUCCAUCUCUCCUUUCUUUCUAUGUAAGU